rnacentral:rRNA from 1 species
UGCUCGAUUAUGGUAGUUGGUGAGGUAACGGAUCACCAAGCCGAUAAUCGAUAGGGGCCGUGAGAGCGGUUGCCCUGAGAUGGGUACUGAGACAGCGACCCAGGCCUUACGAGGCGCAGCAGGCGCGAGACCUCCGCAAUACACGCAAGUGUGACGGGGUUACCCAAAGUGUCCUUAUUGGACUGUGGCGGGUGAGUAAUGUUCCCCGCUAGAAAGGAGAGGGCAAGGCUGGUGCCAGCCGCCGCGGUAAAACCAGCUCUUCAAGUGGUCGGGAUAAUUAUUGGGCUUAAAGUGUCCGUAGCCGGUUUAGUAAGUUCCUGGUAAAACCGGGCAGCUUAACUGUCCGUAUGCUAGGAAUACUGCUAUGCUAGAGGGCGGGAGAGGUCUGAGGUACUACAGGGGUACGGGUGAAAUCUUAUAAUCCUUGUAGGACCACCAGUGGCGAAAGCGUCAGACUGGAACGCGCCUGACGGUGAGGGACGAAAGCCAGGGGAGCGAACCGGAUCAGAUACCCGGGUAGUCCUGGCCGUAAACGAUGCAUACUAGGCAGCGGUGCGGCCAUGAGCCGCUUCAGUACCGUAGGGAAACCGUUAAGUGUGCCGCCUGGGAAGUACGGUCGCAAGGCUGAAACUUAAAGGAAUUGGCGGGGGAGCACCACAAGGGGUGAAGCCUGCGGUUCAAUUGGACUCAACGCCGGGAAACUUACCAGGGGAGACAGCAGAAUGACAGUCAGGUUGACGACCUUACUCGACGAGCUGAGAGGAGGUGCAUGGCCGUCGCCAGUUCGUGCUGUGAGGUAUCCUGUUAAGUCAGGCAACGAACGAGAUCCGCGCCUUUAUUUGCCAUCAAGAAGUCACGACUUCGUUGGGAACACUAAAGGGACCGCCGUCGAUAAGACGGAGGAAGGAGCGGGCAAAGGCAGGUCAGUAUGCCCCGAAACCCCUGGGCUACACGCGGGCUGCAAUGGUGCGAACAAUGGGCUGUAACUCCGAAAGGAGAAACCAAUCCCGAAAUCGCAUCUCAGUGGGGAUUGUCGACUGUAACUCGUUGACAUGAACGUGGAAUCCCUAGUAAUCGCGUGUC